UACGGAGGGUGCAAGCGUUAUCCGGAUUCACUGGGUUUAAAGGGUGCGUAGGCGGGCAGGUAAGUCAGUGGUGAAAAUCCUAGAGCUUAACUCUAGAACUGCCAUUGAUACUAUCUGUCUUGAAUAUUGUGGAGGUAAGCGGAAUAUGUCAUGUAGCGGUGAAAUGCUUAGAUAUGACAUAGAACACCUAUUGCGAAGGCAGCUACUACGCAUAUAUUGACGCUGAGGCACGAAAGCGUGGGGAGUCAAACAGGA
rnacentral:rRNA from 1 species